GUGUUCCACGCUGUCGGUUCGCCGCCCGUCGGCGUUAACUGGCAUGUCCUGUGGAACGUCCUGCCGGUGGCGGUCCGGGCCCUCGGCCUGCGUAAAGACCUUGCGUCUGAAGCAGGGCGAAGCGGUGCCGGCCGCCGGUUCAAUCCCGCCACGGUGCUCUUCACCGAGUGUCGAGGUGGGCCGGCACGUUUACUUUGAACAAAUUAGAGUGCUUAAAGCAGGCUGGUGUCCGCCUGAAUACUGUGUGCAUGGAAUAAUGGAAUAGGACCUCGGUUCUAUUUUGUUGGUUUUCGGAACCCGAGGUAAUGAUUAAUAGGGACAGGCGGGGGCAUUCGUAUUGCGACGUUAGAGGUGAAAUUCUUGGAUCGUCGCAAGACGAACCUAAGCGAAAGCAUUUGCCAAGUAUGUUCUCGUUAAUCAAGAACGAAAGUUAGAGGUUCGAAGGCGAUCAGAUACCGCCCUAGUUCUAACCAUAAACGAUGCCAGCCAGCGAUCCGCCGAAGUUCCUCCGAUGACUCGGCGGGCAGCUUCCGGGAAACCAAAGCUUUUGGGUUCCGGGGGAAGUAUGGUUGCAAAGCUGAAACUUAAAGGAAUUGACGGAAGGGCACCACCAGGAGUGGAGCCUGCGGCUUAAUUUGACUCAACACGGGAAACCUCACCAGGCCCGGACACCGGAAGGAUUGACAGAUUGAGAGCUCUUUCUUGAUUCGGUGGGUGGUGGUGCAUGGCCGUUCUUAGUUGGUGGAGCGAUUUGUCUGGUUAAUUCCGAUAACGAACGAGACUCUAGCCUGCUAACUAGGCGAUUUCCGGUACCCACAAUAGUGUUACCGGCGAUUCAAUUUCUUCUUAGAGGGACAGGCGGCUCCUAGCCGCACGAGACUGAGCAAUAACAGGUCUGUAAUGCCCUUAGAUGUCCUGGGCCGCACGCGCGCUACACUGAAGGAAUCAGCGUGUCUUCCCUGGCCGACAGGCCCGGGUAACCCGUUGAACCUCCUUCGUGCUAGGGAUUGGGGCUUGCAAUUGUUCCCCAUGAACGAGGAAUUCCCAGUAAGCGCGAGUCAUAAGCUCGCGUUGAUUACGUCCCUGCCCUUUGUACACACCGCCCGUCGCUACUACCGAUUGAAUGAUUUAGUGAGGUCUUCGGACUGGUGCGCGGCGGUCGGUUCCACCGGCCGCCGAUGUUGCCGGAAAGAUGACCAAACUUGAUCAUUUAGAGGAAGUAAAAGU
rnacentral:rRNA from 1 species